UUUAUGGAGAGUUUGAUCCUGGCUCAGGAUGAACGCUGGCGGCGUGCCUAAUACAUGCAAGUCGAGCGAACGGACGAGAAGCUUGCUUCUCUGAUGUUAGCGGCGGACGGGUGAGUAACACGUGGAUAACCUACCUAUAAGACUGGGAUAACUUCGGGAAACCGUAGCUAAUACCGGAUAAUAUUUUGAACCGCAUGGUUCAAAAGUGAAAGACGGUCUUGCUGUCACUUAUAGAUGGAUCCGCGCUGCAUUAGCUAGUUGGUAAGGUAACGGCUUACCAAGGCAACGAUGCAUAGCCGACCUGAGAGGGUGAUCGGCCACACUGGAACUGAGACACGGUCCAGACUCCUACGGGAGGCAGCAGUAGGGAAUCUUCCGCAAUGGGCGAAAGCCUGACGGAGCAACGCCGCGUGAGUGAUGAAGGUCUUCGGAUCGUAAAACUCUGUUAUUAGGGAAGAACAUAUGUGUAAGUAACUGUGCACAUCUUGACGGUACCUAAUCAGAAAGCCACGGCUAACUACGUGCCAGCAGCCGCGGUAAUACGUAGGUGGCAAGCGUUAUCCGGAAUUAUUGGGCGUAAAGCGCGCGUAGGCGGUUUUUUAAGUCUGAUGUGAAAGCCCACGGCUCAACCGUGGAGGGUCAUUGGAAACUGGAAAACUUGAGUGCAGAAGAGGAAAGUGGAAUUCCAUGUGUAGCGGUGAAAUGCGCAGAGAUAUGGAGGAACACCAGUGGCGAAGGCGACUUUCUGGUCUGUAACUGACGCUGAUGUGCGAAAGCGUGGGGAUCAAACAGGAUUAGAUACCCUGGUAGUCCACGCCGUAAACGAUGAGUGCUAAGUGUUAGGGGGUUU
rnacentral:rRNA from 1 species